rnacentral:rRNA from 1 species
AACGAACGCUGGCGGCAGGCCUAACACAUGCAAGUCGAACGCCCCGCAAGGGAGGUGGCAGACGGGUGAGUAACACGUGGGAACGUACCCUUCGGUUCGGGAGUAACUCAGGGAAACUUAGAGCUAAUACCGGAUACGUCCGAGAGGAGAAAGAUUUAUCGCCGAGGGAUCGGCCCGCGUCUGAUUAGCUUGUUGGUGAGGUAACGGCUCACCAAGGCGACGAUCAGUAGCUGGUCUGAGAGGAUGAUCAGCCACAUUGGGACUGAGACACGGCCCAAACUCCUACGGGAGGCAGCAGUGGGGAAGUCUUGCGCAAUGGGCGAAAGCCUGACGCAGCCAUGCCGCGUGAAUGAUGAAGGUCUUAGGAUUGUAAAUUACUUUCACCAGGGACGAUAAUGACGGUACCUGCAGAAGAAGCCCCGG